UGUGGUUCCUGGGAAUUGAAUUCAGGACUUCCGGAAGAGCAGCCAAUGCUCUUAACCUCUGAGCCAUCUCCCGAGCCCAAGGUCCUGGGAUGUGCUUCUCUCAGCCUGGUCUUCUAGCCUUAUGCUGUGAAAAGCCAUCCCUGUUAGUAACACUCAGGGCCAUGCCGCUCAGACACACCCUUCUCAGUCCAGGAGUGGACCCAGCGGCUGAAGGACAUAGGCUGCUGGCUCACCAGAAGAAAGGAAUCCUUCCAGAACCACACCUCCAAACCCAGAGGCCAGAAGCAGAUGGCAGCAGCAGAUAAGUGCAGGGGGUUCACUUGUCAGGGCUCUGACCGCGUCUGGGAGGGAUCAGCUGGGACAAGGGGCGUGUUCUUCUGCCACAGGCUGUUCCUGGUGUGUUGUGGAACGAGGCCGGGCAGAGGCAGCAGUACACGGUGUUCUGCAGGAAGGCAGGCAGGCGAGCUCCAAAUACGGACAUGCGAUAGGAAGCUUGGCUCCAGGAGUGCAGACGCCUCACACAGGAAGCAAACCAACCAGCCCAACCCAGCUCCCAAGUGUCACACAGCCAGGGAGGGAGACGGGGCUGCGAUGUGAGGAACUGAUUGUCCAGGCUUCAAAAGACCAAAUAAAUAAGCCGAUAAAUGAACCAUGAACCACCGAAGAGCCCUGAGCCACCAAAGAGAGGAAGAACGGUCCUCAGUCAAACCAAACUUUCUGAGGAGGAAGGGCUGGCCUUCUCAGCUCUGUUGUUGCUUUAGAAGCAGCUGAGGAGUUGACUGCCCCUGCAACUCUCCCAGGGCAACGCUGGCUGUCCCUGCACCUUUCAGAAAGGGAAAUAGUCCCUUCAUCUGAGCCAGGGCCACCAGCUCUGCGGUGAGGACCAAUUCUCUAUGUUGAAGGUCAGGUUUCUACUCUGAGUUGAAAGAAUAACUGGAAAGGCAGGCGUCUGGGAGACUCCUGCCACCGGUUGCUACCCACGUGAUAGCUGAUGGUGACUGGGGGGCAGUGGGCUGUGAAAUGUGCCAUCUGAAGUCAGAGCGGACUUGAGUUUGAACACCACCCCCUCUGCUUACCAGCUGCUUUACCCUGGUAAGUAAUGAAUUCCCAUUAAGACUCCAUCUCCUCCUGUGUUGGAAGCACUAUGACAUUCAACCUGGAUAGUGAAAUGGAACCAGACAGUCUUGGGUGAAGUCUUCCUAGACCGAUGAACAAAUGUCUACUCACCAACCACAGACCAAAAAAAAAAAACCCAAAAAAACAAAAAAAACAAUUCACACCCAAGUCUGUCUUGGUGUAGCAGUGAAUUCAAUUCCAGCUACUUACAGGUGUGUGGCAGCUUGUGAGCUUUGUUUUGUUUUGUUUUGUUUUUUGUUUUUUUUUUUUUUUUCGAGACAGGGUUUCUCUGUCCUGGAACUAGCUCUUGUAGACCAGGCUGGCCUCGAACUCACAGAGAUCCACCUGCCUCUGCCUCCCAAUGCCCGGCAGCUUGUGAGCUUCUAUACACUGAAGAAAAGGUUUCUUACUCCCCGCCUCUCCCCGCCCCAGUCCAUAUAUCCUCAGGAGGGGCAGGGUCUUGUGAACCUCUUGCCCCAGGAACUGCUUAUGUACACAGAGGUUCCCAGGAAUGGAUGGCUUUCCCAGAGUUCCUUCUGUCAGUCAUGGAAACUGAGAGAGGAGAGAGAGAGAGAGAGAGAGGAGAGGAGAGGAGAGGAGAGAGAAGAGAGAGAGAGAGAGAGAGAGAGAGAGAGAGAGAGAGAGAGAGAGAGAAUGUUUCCCUGUGGCUCCCCUAGCAACAUCUAACUGUCUAUAUAUCUUCAGGGAGAGGCCAGGCUUCCGAACCACACCCAUCUGGAGAGUUUAACUGGCUCAGUCUUUGCAAGUUUCUUUUGAAUAGUCCCAGCUGCUGAGAAUUCAAGGUGAGGGCCUUGUCAUGCCUAGAGGACAGAGUUCCUAGCAGAUGGCACAUUGCAAUGCAUUCAAAAGGUGCUUAUUAAGUGCCCCAUAAUCCUCUAGUAACAGGAAGGGCUGUUAUUAUCAGUUUCUUGUGUAAGUGACUUCUCCCUGAAUAAAAUUAACCUAUGAUGAUGGUGGUGGUGAUGACAUGAGACUUGAGUAGAAGCCACUGUGAGCUUGAGGGACCAAACAAUGAGCAACGGGUGGCAUAAGAUGUCCUGAUCCAGGUAGCCACUUCUGUUACUGCCUAUCCAUUUUCAGAAGCCUUCAAUAGAAUUUAGUUUUUGUUUUUCUUUUUUGAGACAGGGGUUUUCUGUAGCUUUGGAGGCUGUCCUGGAACUAACUCUUGUAGACCAGGCCGGCCUCGAACUCACAGAGAUCUGCCUGCCUCUGUCUCCUGAGUGCUGGGAUUGAAGGCGUGCUCCACCACUGUCUGGCUCCUUCAAUAGAAUUUUAAAAACUUUUAUUAUGAGCUUUGGAUCCUCUCCUGGCACUCACUCCGGAGACCAGGCUGGCCUUGAAUUCACAGAGAUCCGCCUGCCUCUGCCUCCCGAGUGCUGGGAUUAAAGGCGUACGCCACCAACGCCUGGCGUGUGUGGACAUUGUAAGACAACUUUUGUUUUGAGAUAGGAUCUUCCCAUGUAUCUUAGGCUGGCCUUGAACUCAUCAUAUAGCCAAGGCUAGCCUUGAACUCCUUAUAAUCACAAGUCUCCACUUUCUUAAGUGUUAAGAUUACAGGCUUGCAUCAUCACACCCAGCUCAAACUGGCUUUUAUAACAGACUUACCACCAAGGUGACUCAUUGAUCUGUUAAUCCUGGAUGGAUUAAUACAUUCCUCCAGGCAGAAUCCUCUAGACUAAUCAUUUCUCUAGCCAGUGAGAUGGCUCAGGUAUAGUGCUUGCUGAUGAACCUGACAAUAUGAGUUCAAUCCCGGGACCUACACAACGGAAGAACAGCACUGAUUUUUAAAAGUAGCUGUUUGGGGGCUGGAGUGAUGGUUUAGUGGUUAAGAUCAGUGGCUGCUCUUAUAGAGGAACUGGAUUGUAGAAGGAGACCUACCAGAGGCACCGUGGCGCUGACCAUGCCCGUUUGGGCAUAGUCACGGGUGUGUACAUGAGCAAGUAGGAUUUGGUCUGGGCCAGGGACAAGCUUGUUCUCUCUUGGUUCCGGUUGGGUUGUGAAGAGCCACUGGGCGUGGAUCCUUGGAGCUGGGACUUGAGGAUUAUCAGUUUCUUGUGUAAGUGACUUCUCCCUGAAUAAAAU
rnacentral:lncRNA from 1 species